rnacentral:rRNA from 1 species
CAUACGAUCUAUGGAUGAAAGCGGGGGAGUCGCAAGACCUCGCGCGAUUGGAGCGGCCGAUAUCAGAUUAGGUAGUUGGUGAGGUAAAGGCUCACCAAGCCGACGAUCUGUAGCUGGUCUGAGAGGACGGACCAGCCACACUGGGACUGAGACACGGCCCAGACUCCUACGGGAGGCAGCAGUGGGGGAAUUUUGGACAAUGGGCGCAAGCCUGAUCCAGCAAUGCCGCGUGCAGGAUGAAGGCCUUCGGGUUGUAAACUGCUUUUGUACGGAACGAAACGGUGAGCUCUAAUACAGUUUGCUAAUGACGGUACCGUAAGAAUAAGCACCGGCUAACUACGUG